rnacentral:rRNA from 1 species
AGUGAACGCUGGCGGUAGGCCUAACACAUGCAAGUCGAACGGCAGCACAGUAAGAGCUUGCUCUUACGGGUGGCGAGUGGCGGACGGGUGAGGAAUACAUCGGAAUCUACUUUUUCGUGGGGGAUAACGUAGGGAAACUUACGCUAAUACCGCAUCCGACCUACGGGUGAAAGCAGUGGAUCUUCGGACCUUGCGCGAUUGGAUGCGCCGCUGUCGGAUUAGCUAGUUGGCGGGGUAAAGGCCCACCACGGCGACGAUCCGUAGCUGGUCUGAGUGAAUGAUCAGCGACCGUGGAAGUGGACCAGGGACCAGAGUCCUACGGAAGGCACCAGUCGGCAAUAUUGGGCAGUAGGAGCAAGCAUGACACAACCAUACCACGCGGGUGGAAAAGACCUCCGGGUUGUAAAGCCCUCUUGUUGGGAAAAAAAAGCAGCAGGUUAAUACCACGCUGUUCUGACGGUACCCAAAAAAUAAGCACCGGCUAACUACGUG